rnacentral:rRNA from 1 species
GACGAACGCUGGCGGCGUGCCUAAUACAUGCAAGUUGAGCGAUGAAGAUUGGUGCUUGCACCAAUUUGAAGAGCAGCGAACGGGUGAGUAACGCGUGGGGAAUCUGCCUUUGAGCGGGGGACAACAUUUGGAAACGAAUGCUAAUACCGCAUAACAACUUUAAACAUAAGUUUUAAGUUUGAAAGAUGCAAUUGCAUCACUCAAAGAUGAUCCCGCGUUGUAUUAGCUAGUUGGUGAGGUAAAGGCUCACCAAGGCGAUGAUACAUAGCCGACCUGAGAGGGUGUUCGGCCACAUUGGGACUGAGACACGGCCCAAACUCCUACGGGAGGCAGCAGUAGGGAAUCUUCGGCAAUGGACGAAAGUCUGACCGAGCAACGCCGCGUGAGUGAAGAAGGUUUUCGGAUCGUAAAACUCUGUUGGUAGAGAAGAACGUUGGUGAGAGUGGAAAGCUCAUCAAGUGACGGUAACUACCCAGAAAGGGACGGCUAACUACGUG